rnacentral:rRNA from 1 species
AGCGAACGCUGGCGGCAGGCUUAACACAUGCAAGUCGAGCGGGCCCUUCGGGGUCAGCGGCGGACGGGUGAGUAACGCGUGGGAACGUGCCUUCUGGUCUGGAAUAACCCUGGGAAACUAGGGCUAAUACCGGAUACGCCCUUUUGGGGAAAGGUUUACUACCGGAAGAUCGGCCCGCGUCUGAUUAGCUAGUUGGUGGGGUAACGGCCUACCAAGGCGACGAUCAGUAGCUGGUCUGAGAGGAUGAUCAGCCACACUGGGACUGAGACACGGCCCAGACUCCUACGGGAGGCAGCAGUGGGGAAUAUUGGACAAUGGGCGCAAGCCUGAUCCAGCCAUGCCGCGUGAGUGAUGAAGGCCUUAGGGUUGUAAAGCUCUUUUAGCCGGGACGAUAAUGACGGUACCGGAGGAAUAAGCCCCGGCUAACUUCGU